UUGAUUCAUCUGCGCGCUCAGGA
rnacentral:miRNA from 1 species